CCUGCCUUUGUGUCUGGUGAACAGCCCGCCUCCCUGCCCACUUCCUCCUCCCUCUUCAUUGCCCUCCACACCCCACACCUCUGCAGACCCUAGCCUGCUUUCUUUGCCCAUGUCACACUCCUGCCCCCACCCAUGACUAUUUUACAGGAACCAUGGAGAAGGACUGACCAGGGAGAGGACUUCUAGAUCAGCAGGUCUAAUGAAGUUCCUGCAAGACCCCAGCCAGCCUGGGAUAACCUCUCCAAAGCUCCGAGGCUGGGCUGACCCUCCUUCCGUGGGGUCCCACCCUUUUCACACUGGGGCAGAAGGGAGGGGAAGCUGCUCCUCUCCUCUGUGCAAGAAGGAGGAGGCCGUCCUCUGCUUCCUGCCCAAGGCACGCUCUCAGCCACCACCUCCACCCACCCCUCUCUCCUCGGCAGAGGAUUCUGCUGCAGGGGAACCAAUAACACGAUGCCCUGUCUCAAGUUGCUCACUGUCAGUCCAGGAGGGAAAAAGGAACAGUAGACACAUAGCUACACCCAGAGAAGUACCUGCUGGAGCAGAGGAGAAGGAGAUGAAGUUCCCCUUCUUGCCACCAGAGGGAGAACUGGUGGCGUAUGAGAGAGACAGAGACAGAGUGACAGAGAAACAGAGAGAAAUAGAAGAAAAUGUGUGUGUAAUGUGUUUGUGACCUACUGACUGUAUAUGAGAUGGCCCGCGUGUGAAAACUUCAGUGGCCAACCAAAUGUGAAGGUCCCUUCUCCCUAUUCUGACCCUUCCCCUCUCCCUCCACCCAGAUGAUAUAAAGUGUGUCCAAUCUGGGCCCCGUACCCUGCACUUGCUGAAACUUCCCCGCACACAUUCCUUGCUCACAACAAGGUCAUAUGGGUCAAUUCCAGGGCUAGAGCUCGGAGAGAAACAAAUGCAGCAUAUCUGAGGGAAGCAUUUUGCAAUGCAGUUACUGUAACUCCAACAUAGCUACUUUGAAAAUGUUUAUCUUUCUUAAAAUGAGAUCUCCCUGCAGUCCAGGGGUUCCCUUGAGAAUCUAAGUGGUUAAGUAGCUCUUAACUUUUGGGGGAUUUAGGACUUCCUUUGAAAACUCUUGAAUUCCAUACACACUCACACACAUCAUUUUGAAAACUGUAAACUUCCACACACACCAAUUCCAGGGAACUCAGAGACCUUCUAGAACCCAUUCAAAGGCACACAUGGCGGGGGCAGCCUAAACCAACAGUGUGUGCACAACUGUCUCCAAGGACUUAAAGAUCUUUAUCCCAGGAAGUUGCCCCUGAUCCUCUCUGGGUGUGGCCAAGGGUGAUGCACAAAAAGAGCAUGAAGAGAAGGCUGCUGACACUAGAGGGCGACUGGAACAGGGAGUGAGUGGGCCCUGACAUUGACAGACCUAUUCCCCAGAGUGGAAUUUCUGACUCCUCAGAAGGCCAAGGUACAAAGAAAAUUCCUACUACUGUUUCCACCACUUAAGGAUAUGGAAGUUCCCAAAGUGCCUUGUGGAGUCCAGGGAGCCAAGAAGGUCACAGCCUGUAACAAAAUGAUAUUCACUCUCACCUCCAGGAAGUGAAUGGAGAUUGUGUUUCACCUAAAUGAAGGAGAAAAGUACAAAAGAGGAAGGCAUGGGCCCCAGAAAAUUGGGGAUUCUAUAGGAUACAAGAAGACAACCAUCUGCAAAACAGGAAGAGAGCCCCCACCAGACAAAGAAUCUGCCGGCACCUUGAUCUUGGACUUCCCCAGCCUCCAGAACCAUGAGAAGUAAAUGUUUGUUGUUUAAGCCA